CUCCUUGCUUGUUAGAGAAGUAAACUGAUGAGAGCACUGGAUGAGGGUCUAUCAUCUAUGGUCUGUUAUAAUUUGCUUUUUAUGCAAAUAGUGAGCAAAAAUUCAAGCAAAACUGUACAAGUUACAUAUAUAGUACUAUAUCAGUACUAUACACGAACUUUUAUCGCUGGAUAAUUUUGCGAGUUUUCAUCCAAUUCAAUCAUAUAUAUGCUCAAAAUCUUCGCGGCAAGUUUCUCUUUACCAUAAAAUUUGACCGAAUAAGUUUCAAAACAAUGCGACGGCAAAAAAUGCAAAAGUCCUGAUUUUCGUAAUAGAAUUUAUAGUCUUUUUGCCCUGUUGUACCGCCAUCUUGGAUUUAUCAUGUAGGCCCCGCCUGCGCUAGGUAUGCGUUAGCAAUCUAGAUCUCCUAUAUCUAUG
rnacentral:lncRNA from 1 species